GUUCCUCGGGGCAGAACAUAUACUAAAUUUGGAAUGGUACAGAGAAGAGUAGCAUGACCCCUGCACAAACCCUGACACACAAAAUCGUGAAGCGUUGCCAUAUUUU